UUAAAUAAUAAUAAUUACAAAAAUAAAUAAUAGAAGCGAGAGACAAGUCCCCCAAAUAGUAAUAAUAAUAGUAGCACUGACAUUGGAAGUAAAAUAUGGUGAAAUAGAAGCGAGAGGGUGUUGAGCAAUGAAAAAUGACUGCAAAUAAUGAACGGGGAUAUAGAAUUAUAGAAGAGUCAAUCAAUUGCCGUUAAAAUCAUAUCCAAAGCUAAGAAGUUGUUGGAGAAGCAAGGAGAAGAUGAAAUUGUAACCUCUAAAGUGGAAGUUGUCAAAAGACAUGGCUUUUGCUGAAGGUUAUCAAGGUUAACAAGGAGCAUUACUAUUGUAUCACUCUCCCUGGGUUCAUGCAAUAUUAGUCUUAUUCAGGUUAUCAAGGAGAAGUUUAUAAAAGAGUUGGCAGAAGUUCAAGCCCAACAUGCCGAGGCUCAAGCACAGAGAAUGGAGGUACCACCAAUUGAUGAAGACUUGAUCUGGGAGGAAGUGUGUGGUGGACAAAAGAAGAAUCGAGUUUACGGAAAAAGGUCAUUCUUUUCUAGCUCUAUCAAGUCUGGAACCAUUUAUGCCAAUUCUGUAUCUGGAAGAGCACCUAGAAAUCAAAAUUCUGUUCUUGAUUUGCGAGAAGAGAUUCAUAAUCUCAAUGAAGAACUUUUUCAGCGUGUUAUUCAACAAACAGAUGAGCGUAUUAUUAAGUUGUUAGAUACACGCUUGGCUCCUUUGGAAAAGACUCAAAAGAAGUUAGAAAAGUUGGAACGGAAAAUUGAAAAGG